rnacentral:rRNA from 1 species
CAAUAGCGUAUAUUAAAGUUGUUGCAGUUAAAAAGCUCGUAGUUGGAUUUCUGGUGGGAGCGAUCGGUCUGGCGCUUAGCGCGAGUACUUGCAUCGUCUCCGGCCAUCCUUGGGGAGAGUCUGUCUGGCAUUAGGUUGUCGGGCAGAGGAUCCUCAUCGUUUACUGUGAAAAAAUUAGAGUGUUCAAAGCAGGCUUAUGCCGUUGAAUAUAUUAGCAUGGAAUAAUAAGAUAGGACUUUGGUACUAUCUUGUUGGUUUGCGCACCAAAGUAAUGAUUAAUAGGGACAGUUGGGGGUAUUCGUAUUCCGUUGUCAGAGGUGAAAUUCUUGGAUUUACGGAAGACGAACUACUGCGAAAGCAUUUACCAAGGAUGUUUUCAUUAA